rnacentral:rRNA from 1 species
AGAGACAGCAGUAGCCGCGGGAAUACGUAGGGUGCGAGCGUUAAUCGGAAUUACUGGGCGUAAAGCGUGCGUAGGCGGUGAGUUAAGUCUGCUGUGAAAUCCCCGGGCUCAACCUGGGAAUGGCAGUGGAUACUGGCUCGCUAGAGUGUGUCAGAGGAUGGUGGAAUUCCCGGUGUAGCGGUGAAACGCGUAGAGAUCGGGAGGAACAUCAGUGGCGAAGGCGGCCAUCUGGGACAACACUGACGCUGAGGCACGAAAGCGUGGGGAGCAAACAGGAUUAGAUACCCCAGUAGUCCCUGUCUCUUAUAC